UACAGAGGAGCCAAGCGUUGUCCGGAUUGACUGGGCGUAAAGCGCACGCAGGCGGGGGUGCGCGUGGGGUGUGAAAUCUGGCCGCUUAACGGCCAGGCGCCAUCCCAUACGGCACGCCUGGAGCCUUGCAGAGGUCGGUGGAAUUGCCGGUAUAGUGGUGAAAUGCGUAGAGAUCGGCAGGAACACCCAGGGGAAACCAGCCGACUGGGCAAGUGCUGACGCUGAGGUGCGAGAGCGGUGGGGAGCGAACCGG
rnacentral:rRNA from 1 species